rnacentral:pre_miRNA from 1 species
CAGAUACUCCUUCCGUCUGGAAAUACUUGUCAGAGAAAUGAAUGUAUCUAGACGUAUUUUAGUUCUAGAUACAUCCAUUUUUAUGCAUUUCUUCGACAAAUAUUUCCGGACGGAGGGAGUAGUUU